rfam:Zea mays cultivar B73 chromosome 1, whole genome shotgun sequence.
CCCCUUAACGACGAAGAGUUUGUAUCCUAUCUCCUCACUGGUCUUGAUGAGGAACGCUACAAUCCUCUCGUUUCAUCUAUUCUUACUCGCAUAGAACCUGUUACACCUUCUGAAUUACUCUCGCAAAUGCUGAGUUAUGAAC